rnacentral:rRNA from 1 species
GGAGCCGUAGGGAAACCGAGUCUUAAUAGGGCGUUUAGUUGCUGGCAAUAGACCCGAAACCGGACGAUCUAUCCAUGGCCAGGUUGAAGGUGCCGUAACAGGCACUGGAGGACCGAACCCACCUAUGUUGAAAAAUGGGGGGAUGAGCUGUGGAUCGGAGUGAAAGGCUAAUCAAGCCCGGAGAUAGCUGGUUCUCCCCGAAAGCUAUUUAGGUAGCGCCUCGGACGAAUACCACAGGGGUUAGAGCACUGUUU